GGCCUCGAAACUCAGCUGGUAGAGCGUGCGCAUACAAAACGUAGGCGACGUUCCUGCGUGGAUUCGAAUCCCACCGAAGCUA
rnacentral:tRNA from 1 species